rnacentral:rRNA from 1 species
AACGAACGCUGGCGGCAUGCCUAACACAUGCAAGUCGAUCGAAGGCUUCGGCCUUAGUGGCGCACGGGUGCGUAACGCGUGGGAAUCUGCCCUUGGGUUCGGAAUAACAGCGGGAAACUGCUGCUAAUACCGGAUGAUGACGUAAGUCCAAAGAUUUAUCGCCCAAGGAUGAGCCCGCGUAGGAUUAGCUAGUUGGUGGGGUAAAGGCCCACCAAGGCGACGAUCCUUAGCUGGUCUGAGAGGAUGAUCAGCCACACUGGGACUGAGACACGGCCCAGACUCCUACGGGAGGCAGCAGUGGGGAAUAUUGGACAAUGGGCGAAAGCCUGAUCCAGCAAUGCCGCGUGAGUGAUGAAGGCCUUAGGGUUGUAAAGCUCUUUUACCCGGGAUGAUAAUGACAGUACCGGGAGAAUAAGCUCCGGCUAACUCCGUG